CGAUAGAGGGGGAGAACAAAAAUGGAAGAAACAGCUGAGAUCGAAAGGCUGAGGCCUAUUAGACGUUAUUUCUGUGAUUAUUGUGGAAUUUGCAGAUCUAAGAAGUCUCUUAUCGCUUCUCACAUUCAAACCAACCACAAGGAAGAGUUGGAAAAGGAAAAAGCUCAUGGAGACGAAGAAAUUGAGGGAGUGAAGUCUAAUACUUGCCGAGAAUGUGGUGCUAGUUUCAAAAAGCCUGCGUAUCUGAAACAACAUAUGCAAAGUCAUUCCCUUGUGAGGCCAUAUGUGUGUUCGGUUGAUGAUUGCAAUGCCAGCUACAGAAGGAAGGACCACUUGACUCGCCACCUUCUUAUGCAUGAGGGAAAACUCUUCAAGUGUCCUAUUGAGAAUUGCAACUGUGAAUUUGUUCUCUAACAUGCCUUUUAACAUUGCCUCUCCAUAGUGAGAAUUCUCCCCCCGCUAAUGUUGGUCAGAAGCAGUAUGUUUGCCAGGAAACUGGUUGUGGGAAGGUUUUUAAAUAUCCUUCAAGGUUGCAAAAACACAAGGAUUCGCAUGUUGAAUUGGAAUCUGUGGAGGCAUUCUGUGCAGAACUAGGCUGUAUGAAACAUUUUUCCAAUGCUCAAUGCCUUAAGGCCCACAUCCAUUCAUGCCACAGAUACCUGACUUGUGAGAUAUGUGGAACAAAACAGCUGAAAAAGAAUUUAAAGAGGCAUCUCCGCGCCCAUGAAGCAGGUGAUCAGCCAGUGGAGAGAAUAAAAUGCCAUUUUGAGGAUUGUUGCCACACAUUUUCUAGUAAAACAAAUCUUAAUCUGCAUAUUAAGGCUGUGCACCUUGAAGACAGACCUUUCGCCUGUGGAUUUCUAGGUUGUGAUAUGAGAUUUGCAUUCAAGCAUGUCAGAGAUAACCAUGAGAAAUCUGGAUGCCAUGUCUAUACUCCUGGUGAUUUUGAAGAGUCUGAUGAGCAAUUCAGGUCGAGGCCACGAGGUGGAAGGAAGAGGAAAUGCCCAACUGUAGAAAUGCUUGUUCGUAAGAGGGUUACUCCGCCAACUGAUUUGGAUGAGUGCCAUGCUUGGUUUCAGUCAGUGGAGAGUCAUGAGCAGUCGUGAGUCAUACUCUUUCAGAUUCAGUGAGUCCAUUAUCUAGAAUUUAUCUCUGUAUAUGAAGUGUAUAGUUGGCUAGUUCUGGUAUAUUUUGCAUUUUGUUACUCUUUGAAAUAGAGGCUAUGGCCCGUUGAACUCUAUGUUCUCU
rnacentral:misc_RNA from 1 species